rnacentral:rRNA from 1 species
CCUACGGGUGGCAGCAGUGAGGAAUAUUGGGCAAUGGACGAGAGUCUGAAGCAGCCAAGUAGCGUGAAGGAUGACUGUCCUAUGGUUUGUAAACUUCUUUUAUAAAGGAAUACAACGAGUCACGUGUUCCUUUUUGCAUGUACUGUAUCAAUAAGGAUCGGCUAACUCCGUGCCAGCAGCCGCGGUAAUACGGAGGAUCCGAGCGUUAACCGGAUUUGUUGGGUUGAAAGGGAACGUAGAGGGGUUGUUAAGUCAGUUGUGAAAGUUUGCGGCUCAACGGUAAAAUUGCAAUUGAUACUGGCAAUCUGGAGUACAGUUGAGGUAGGCGGAAUUCGAGGUGUAGCGGUGAAAUGCUUAGAUAUCACGAAGAACCUCGAUUGCGAAGGCAGCUUUCUAACCUAUGACUGACAUUGAUGCUCGAAAGCGUGGGUAGCAAACAGGAUUAGAUACCCGGGUAGUC